GAUGAAGAACGUAGCGAACUGCGAUAAGUAAUGUGAAUUGCAGAAUUCAGUGAAUCAUCGAGUCUUUGAACGCACAUUGCGCCCCCUGGCAUUCCGGGGGGCAUGCCUGUCCGAGCGUCAUUGCUGCCCUUCAAGCCCGGCUUGUGUGUUGGGUCGUCGUCCCCCCCGGGGGACGGGCCCGAAAGGCAGCGGCGGCACCGCGUCCGGUCCUCGAGCGUAUGGGGCUUUGUCACCCGCUCGAUUAGGGCCGGCCGGGCGCCAGCCGGCGUCUCCAACCUUCUAUUUUACCAGGUUGACCUCGGAUCAGGUAGGGAUACCCGCUGAACUUAAGCAUAUCGAUAAGCGGGGA
rnacentral:misc_RNA from 1 species